CCUACGGGACGCAGCAGUGGGGAAUAUUGGGCAAUGGGCGCAAGCCUGACCCAGCAACGCCGCGUGAAGGAAGAAGGCUUUCGGGUUGUAAACUUCUUUUCUUGGGGACGAAGAAAGUGACGGUACCUAAGGAAUAAGCCACGGCUAACUACGUGCCAGCAGCCGCGGUAAUACGUAGGUGGCAAGCGUUAUCCGGAUUUAUUGGGGGUAAAGGGCGUGUAGGCGGGAUUGCAAGUCAGAGGUGAAAACUACGGGUUCAACAU
rnacentral:rRNA from 1 species